rnacentral:rRNA from 1 species
UGGGGAAUCUUCCGCAAUGGACGAAAGUCUGACGGAGCAACGCCGCGUGAGUGAUGACGGUCUUCGGAUUGUAAAGCUCUGUUAAUCGGGACGAAUGGUUUGUGUGCAAAUAGUGCAUAGACAUGACGGUACCGGAAUAGAAAGCCACGGCUAACUACGUGCCAGCAGCCGCGGUAAUACGUAGGUGGCAAGCGUUGUCCGGCAUUAUUGGGCGUAAAGCGCGCGCAGGCGGACUAGCCAGUCAGUCUUAAAAGUUCGGGGCUUAACCCCGUGAUGGGAUUGAAACUACUAGUCUAGAGUAUCGGAGAGGAAAGUGGAAUUCCUAGUGUAGCGGUGAAAUGCGUCGAUAUUAGGAAGAACACCAGUGGCGAAGGCGACUUUCUGGACGAACACUGACGCUGAGGCGCGAAAGCCAGGGGAGCGAACGGG